rnacentral:rRNA from 1 species
CCCUUCGACGCGUGCGUUUGAUAGUAGAGCCGUGUUGCUUGAAGUGCCGCCGUUUUUUAUUGAGCCCCGUUUUUUUUUAUAGAGACCGUUUUUUAUUUUAUCAUGGUGUUUCGGGGUAACCCUGAGAAACCAAAAAGAUCCAAUGGGGAGAUUCAUCGUCAGGGACGCUGGAAUUCGUGCUUGGCGCGAUGCCCGGGACCUCGGUCUCGGUGCACGCCCUCGCUGCGGAUAAUCCGGUGGCCUCGGCGUGCACUUCUCCCCUAGUAGAACGUCGCGACCCGUUGGGUGCUGGUCUACGGCUCGGUGCGUCGCCUGUCCCGUCCUCGCAAGAGUGUGCGCGGCAGACGCCCGAUCGCCCGACCGGCUGCCCGGGGGUAAAUAAACUAUUGACAUGGUAAAGGGCCGCACUAAGUGCGUUCAGGCACGUCGUCAGGCGAGUUACCGCCUGGUACGCGGACCUAACGCCCUGUAUCGGGCCGUGCUUGCCUCUCGUCGGCGUUGUCCUCGGACAGGCUCGAUAAACGUUCCUCGCGGACGUACCAGUCGGCGACGCUACUGCUUUGGGUACUUUCAGGACCCGUCUUGAAACACGGACCAAAC